rnacentral:rRNA from 1 species
AAUGAACGCUGGCGGCAGGCCUAAUACAUGCAAGUCGAGCGCCGCGUCGUACGGGGGAGUAAUGCCUAGUAAGCUACCCGGUAGUGGGGUAUAACGUCCGGAAACGGGCGCUAAUACCGCAUACUAGCAGGUGAGCCUCGGGCGGAUAAGCUAGUUGGUCGGGAAACGGCUUACCAAGGCGACGAUCCGUAACUGCUCUGAGAGCAUGAUCAACCACACUGGGACUGAGACACGGUCCAGACUCCUACGGGAGGCAGCAGUGGGGAAUCUUGGACAAGGGGCGAAAGUCUGACCAAGCAAUGCCGCGUGAGUGAAGAAGGUAUUCGGAUUGUAAAACUCUUUAAGUAGGGAAGCGGUACCAACAGAGAAAGCAACGGCUAACUACGUGCCAGCAGCCGCGGUAAUAC